rnacentral:rRNA from 1 species
UACGUAGGGGGCAAGCGUUGUCCGGAAUCAUUGGGCGUAAAGCGCGUGUAGGCGGCUCGAUAAGUCUGCUGUGAAAGUCCAGGGCUCAACCCUGGGAUGCCGGUGGAUACUGUCGAGCUCGAGUCCGGAAGAGGAGAGUGGAAUUCCUGGUGUAGCGGUGAAAUGCGCAGAUAUCAGGAGGAACACCAAUGGCGAAGGCAGCUCGCUGGGACGUGACUGACGCUGAGACGCGAAAGCGUGGGGAGCAAACAGG